rnacentral:lncRNA from 1 species
UAAUAUUAAGCAAGCUUUAAUCAAAUUCAAAACAAUCUCAAACAAAUUACAAAGAAAAAAUAAGAAAUCUUAAAGAAAUAUUAGAAUAAUCACAAAUAUAUCUCAAAUACAUCUCAAUUCAAUCUUAAUUUAAUCCUAGUUAAAAUCCUAUUGAACUUCAUUUAAACUUUAGGCCAAAAACUAAUUAAAUCUUAAAUCCUAAAUAAAUUCAAAUAAAAUCCUAAAUCCUAAAUCAAACCCUAAAUAAAUCUUAAAUCUUAAAUCAAAUCCUAAUUAAUCUUAAAUCAAAUCCUAACCAAAUUCUAAUCCUAAAUCAAACCCUAAUCAAAUCCUAA